rnacentral:rRNA from 1 species
UGGGGAAUAUUGCACAAUGGGGGAAACCCUGAUGCAGCGACGCCGCGUGAGCGAUGAAGGCUUUCGAGUCGUAAAGCUCUGUCCUAUGGGAAGAUAAUGACGGUACCAUAGAAGAAAGCCCCGGCUAAUUACGUGCCAGCAGCCGCGGUAAUACGUAAGGGGCGAGCGUUGUCCGGAAUUAUUGGGCGUAAAGAGUGCGUAGGCGGCAAAUUAAGUCAGAUGUGAAAACUAAGGGCUCAACCCAUAGAUUGCAUCUGAAACUGAUAUGCUUGAGUCAAGGAGAGGAAAGUGGAAUUCCUAGUGUAGCGGUGGAAUGCGUAGAUAUUAGGAGGAAUACCGGUGGCUAAGGCGACUUUCUGGACUUGAACUGACGCUGAGGCACGAAAGCGUGGGGAGCAAACAGG